GAUGAACGCUAGCGGCAGGCCUAAUACAUGCAAGUCAAGGGGCCAGCAAUGGCACCGGCGGACGGGUGCGUAACGCGUACACAACGUACCUCUGACAGGGGGAUAGCAUUGGGAAACUGGUGGUAAUACCCCAUAGUAUUGCUGGGAGGCAUUUCUUGGCAAUUAAAGUUACGGCGGUCAGAGAUCGGUGUGCGUCCGAUUAGCUAGUUGGCGGGGUAACGGCCCACCAAGGCGACGAUCGGUAGGGGGUGUGAGAGCAUGACCCCCCACAUGGGUACUGAGACACGGACCCAACUCCUACGGGAGGCAGCAGUAAGGAAUAUUGGACAAUGGUCGGAAGACUGAUCCAGCCAUGCCGCGUGAAGGACGAAGGCGCUCAGCGUUGUAAACUUCUUUUGGAUGGGGAUAAUAACCUCGAUUUAUCGGGGCUUGAAGGUACCAUCAGAAUAAGCACCGGCUAACUCCGUG
rnacentral:rRNA from 1 species